AAUGCAAGGUAGCGUUAACGUUUCUGAGGCUGAAGGAGUGGUGUUUACUAUAAUAAUAUGAUGGUGAAGAAUUUGGCCCACAAGAAACACUUAUUCAAGCCUACAAUUUUCCCUGGGCAAGGGAAGGUCACCGUGUCUAUGUCCCAGCAAAUUCUGAAGACACACAUCAAGCUCCUGCAAGCUUGGCUACUGUGGCAGCCAGAGAAAUGACUUAUAGGGGAGAGAAACACGUACUUGGAAAGAAUUGACCCAGCUGAAUUGGAAAAUGUGGGAAGGGGAUGGGGAAGAGGCUGCUCCACCUGAGAUCCGGCUCCAGGACUUACAGCAAGGGGAACUUGGCAACAUGGCCAAUCUUUCCUAAGCUGCUCAGCUUACAAGAAAAGGAAUCAUACUGCUAAGAAUUCAAACGUCAGCAGUCAUAGUCCCUGACUCCACCUCUUCUGCCACAAACAUCAGCAUGGUGGUAUCAGCCGGCCCUUGGUCCAGCGAGAAGGCAGAGAUGAACAUUCUAGAAAUCAACGAGAAAUUGCGCCCCCAGCUGGCAGAGAACAAACAGCAGUUCAGAAACCUCAAAGAGAAAUGUUUUGUAACUCAACUGGCCGGCUUCCUGGCCAACCGACAGAAGAAAUACAAAUAUGAAGAGUGCAAAGACCUCAUAAAAUCUAUGCUGAGGAAUGAGCGACAGUUCAAGGAGGAGAUGCUUGCAGAGCAGCUCAAGCAAGCUGAGGAGCUUAGGCAAUAUAAAGUCCUGGUUCACUCUCAGGAAUGAGAGCUGACCCAGUUAAGGGAGAAGUUACGGGAAGGGAGAGAUGCCUCCCGCUCAUUGAAUCAGCAUCUCCAGGCCCUCCUCACUCCGGAUGAGCCAGAAAAGUCCCAGGGGCAGGACCUCCAAGAACAGCUGGCUGAGGGGUGUAGACUGGCACAGCACCUUGUCCAAAAGCUCAGCCCAGAAAAUGAUAACGAUGACGAUGAAGAUGUUCAAGUUGAGGUGGCUGAGAAAGUGCAGAAAUCGUCUGCCCCCAGGGAGAUGCAGAAGGCUGAAGAAAAGGAAGUCCCUGAGGACUCACUGGAGGAAUGUGCCAUCACUUGUUCAAAUAGCCAUGGCCCUUAUGACUCCAACCAGCCACAUAGGAAAACCAAAAUCACAUUUGAGGAAGACAAAGUCGACUCAACUCUCAUUGGCUCAUCCCCUCAUGUUGAAUGGGAGGAUGCUGUACACAUUAUCCCAGAAAAUGAAAGUGAUGAUGAGGAAGAGGAAGAAAAAGGGCCAGUGUCUCCCAGGAAUCUGCAGGAGUCUGAAGAGGAGGAAGUCCCCCAAGAGUCCUGGGAUGAAGGUUAUUCGACUCUCUCAAUUCCUCCUGAAAUGUUGGCCUCGUACAAGUCUUACAGCAGCACAUUUCACUCAUUAGAGGAACAGCAAGUCUGCAUGGCUGUUGACAUAGGCAGAUAUCGGUGGGAUCAAGUGAAAAAGGAGGACCAAGAGGCAACAGGUCCGAGGCUCAGCAGGGAGCUGCUGGAUGAGAAAGAGCCUGAAGUCUUGCAGGACUCACUGGAUAGAUGUUAUUCAACUCCUUCAGGUUGUCUUGAACUGACUGACUCAUGCCAGCCCUACAGAAGUGCCUUUUACGUAUUGGAGCAACAGCGUGUUGGCUUGGCUGUUGACAUGGAUGAAAUUGAAAAGUACCAAGAAGUGGAAGAAGACCAAGACCCAUCAUGCCCCAGGCUCAGCAGGGAGCUGCUGGAUGAGAAAGAGCCUGAAGUCUUGCAGGACUCACUGGAUAGAUGUCAUUCGACUCCUUCAGGUUAUCUUGAACUGCCUGACUUAGGCCAGCCCUACAGCAGUGCUGUUUACUCAUUGGAGGAACAGUACCUUGGCUUGGCUCUUGACAUGGACAGAAUUAAAAAGGACCAAGAAGAGGAAGAAGACCAAGGCCCACCAUGCCCCAGGCUCAGCAGGGAGCUGCUGGAGGUAGUAGAGCCUGAAGUCUUGCAGGACUCACUGGAUAGAUGUUAUUCAACUCCUUCCAGUUGUCUUGAACAGCCUGACUCCUGCCAGCCCUAUGGAAGUUCCUUUUAUGCAUUGGAGGAAAAACAUGUUGGCUUUUCUCUUGACGUGGGAGAAAUUGAAAAGAAGGGGAAGGGGAAGAAAAGAAGGGGAAGAAGAUCAAAGAAGAAAAGAAGGAGAAGGGGAAGAAAAGAAGGGGAAGAAGAUCAAAACCCACCAUGCCCCAGGCUCAACGGCGUGCUGAUGGAAGUGGAAGAGCCUGAAGUCUUACAGGACUCACUGGAUAGAUGUUAUUCGACUCCGUUAAUGUACUUUGAACUACCUGACUCAUUCCAGCACUACAGAAGUGUGUUUUACUCAUUUGAGGAACAGCACAUCAGCUUCGCCCUUUACGUGGACAAUAGGUUUUUUACUUUGACGGUGACAAGUCUCCACCUGGUGUUCCAGAUGGGAGUCAUAUUCCCACAAUAAGCAGCCCUUACUAAGCCGAGAGGUGUCAUUCCUGCAGGCAGGACCUAUAGGCACGUGAAGAUUUGAAUGAAACUAUAGUUCCAUUUGGAAGCCCAGACAUAGGAUGGGUCAGUGGGCAUGGCUCUAUUCCUAUUCUCAGAGCAUGUCAGUGUCAACCUGUGCUCAGUCUGAAGACAAUGGACCCACGUUAGGUGUGACACGUUCACAUAACUGUGCAGCACAUGCCGGGAGUGAUCAGUCAGACAUUUUAAUUUGAACCACGUAUCUCUGGGUAGCUACAAAGUUCCUCAGGGAUUUCAUUUUGCAGGCAUGUCUCUGAGCUUCUAUACCUGCUCAAGGUCAGUGUCAUCUUUGUGUUUAGCUCAUCCAAAGGUGUUACCCUGGUUUCAAUGAACCUAACCUCAUUCUUUGUGUCUUCAGUGUUGGCUUGUUUUAGCUGAUCCAUCUGUAACACAGGAGGGAUCCUUGGCUGAGGAUUGUAUUUCAGAACCACCAACUGCUCUUGACAAUUGUUAACCCGCUAGGCUCCUUUGGUUAGAGAAGCCACAGUCCUUCAGCCUCCAAUUGGUGUCAGUACUUAGGAAGACCACAGCUAGAUGGACAAACAGCAUUGGGAGGCCUUAGCCCUGCUCCUCUCAAUUCCAUCCUGUAGAGAACAGGAGUCAGGAGCCGCUGGCAGGAGACAGCAUGUCACCCAGGACUCUGCCGGUGCAGAAUAUGAACAAUGCCAUGUUCUUGCAGAAAACGCUUAGCCUGAGUUUCAUUCUGAAGUUGUCUGAAAAUGUCUUCAUGAUUAAAUUCAGCCUAAACAUUUUGCCGGGAACACUGCAGAGACAAUGCUGUGAGUUUCCAACCUCAGCCCAUCUGCGGGCAGAGAAGGUCUAGUUUGUCCAUCACCAUUAUGAUAUCAGGACUGGUUACUUGGUUAAGGAGGGGUCUAGGAGAUCUGUCCCUUUUAGAGACACCUUACUUAUAAUGAAGUACUUGGGAAAGCGGUUUUCAAGAGUAUAAAUAUCCUGUAUUCUAAUGAUCAUCCUCUAAACAUUUUAUCAUUUAUUAAUCCUCCCUGCCUGUGUCUAUUAUUAUAUUCAUAUCUCUACGCUGGAAAUUUUGCGUCUCAAUUUUUACUGUGCCUUUGUUUUUACUAGUGUCUGUUGUUGCAAAAAGAAGAAAACAUUCUCUGCCUGAGUUUUAAUUUUUGUCCGAAGUUAAUUUUAAUCUAUACAAUUCAAACCUUUUGCCUAUCACUCUGGAUUUUUGGAUUGUUUUUUACAUUCAGUGUUAUAAUAUUUGAUUAUGCUGAUUGGUUUUGGUGGGUACUGAUGCGAAUUAAUAAAAACAUUUCAUUUCC
ensembl:lncRNA NBPF25P NBPF member 25, pseudogene